GGGGGGGGAGUGCCUGACAAUAGUUUACUCCGGAAACUCCUGUUUGAAUGCUAGGCUACCUAUAUCUGUAGACCCCAGAGGGCAGCCAUUAAAUAAUUAGGCACUUAGGGAUGGAGAAUUGUCUCAAAGACCAAACAACAAGUUACUUAAGACUCUUCUGGCAGACCAGAGGACCUUGAGGAUUGAGGAGACCUCUCGUCCUAUCUUGAAUUGUUCCAAAGGACGGAAGGAGGACUGGAUCCGGGCUCUGGCUUGCCUCAUUGCCCCCAAACACAUUCCCAGAAACGCUCCCCAGGGCCGAACCAAGAACUCAAGUGUCUAACCCACAGCGUCAGCUCUCAGGUUCAAGUUCAAGUCCUCCGGCGUACAUCGGGGCUUCCUUGUCUGCUGUUAAAUUUUAUGUGGAAAUGAAGCCGAAAAUAAUGUCCUGAGAUGUGGAUGAAGAGUGCUGUAACGAAACAUUGUACCAAAACGAAGACUGUGCUGUACGCGCCCCUCAGACAACUACUCUCCUGCAGGCGAGGAUUGUCACCCGGGGGGAGUGUGGCAGGAGUGCCGUCACAGUGGCAGAAGGAGAAGGAGAGAGAAAACGAAACCUGGGAAAUUGCCCGCGCUCACUUUUUCUCCUCCCCGGACCUGAGUUCAAGAGCCUGUCUCGGAGUCGGGCAGUCUCCGGUUGGGAAGGCCCUCGAUCAUGACUUUUUCGUCCCGACCUGUGCAGAUCCCCCACCUCUACCCAUCUCCAGCUGACACGUUUGCUCUGAGAAGGGAUUGGUGAAUAUCGCCCUCUCCCGGAUCUCCGGAAAUUCUCCCCAGCGCGCUGCAUCCGCUUCUUCCCAAGCUCGGAGCGCCGCACACGCAGCGGGGCGGGACCUUCAGCUCAGGGCGACGGUGUCCUCGGUCCCCUCCCCGAGGGCCGAGGCCUCCAGAGCCCCAGAUCCGGGACCCAGGCCCUGAGCCGGAUCUGAGGAGCGCACUGGGCCCGAGCCCCUGCUGGAGCCCGGAGCUCGGCCGGGGAGAGAGCUCAGCCACACGCGCCCCCGGCUAUGGCCCGGACCCCGCUCGGCUCUGCCGCUGAGUCCGCGCGCGGGGGAAAGCCCGCAGACCUUCCAGGACUUGCGGAUUGCCAGCCCCGAAUCCCUAAAGAGCUCGGCCCCGAGAGUCUCCUUGUGGUGUUUGGUGGCCGCCGCGAGCGGGCUUGGCGUCCCCCACGGCAGAGGGGAGGUCGAGGGGGAACUGGUUCCCGGUUCACCCUUCAUCUCCUACCAGUCACCAGCCGAGGCCCUGCCCCGUGCUCGCAUGGAGGCACCGAGAUAGCCCUGGCCCAGCAAAUGGCUCCUGGGUCGUCCUGGCGGGAGCGGGCCCAGGGCGAGGCGCGCAGGUGAGGUGCCAGGCUCGGGGCGCCCAGCCAGCGGCGCUUGGGGGCACCGGCUCGCUCCACCUGGCGUCCGCGCGGCCGGAGUGCCGCUGCGGCAGGCGGGCAGCGGCGGCGCAGCGACGGGCUGUGGCGCCACCUCCCGAGAAGACCUAGCAGGAAGCGCGGCUCCGCAGGUGGCCCGCGGCGCGCGCCUUCCGGGUGGCCGGAGUGCCCCUCGGCCAGCGAUUUGCCCUCUCAACGCCCCGAAACACCUCCAGAAAUGCCUGUGGCAGCAAUUACUACGCCGAUGGUCGCUGUCCUCCCCAAGUGAUGAAAGGGAGGUCCUAGCACCCCAGGAAGAUCUUGUGCCCCUGCCUGGGGAAGGCGAAAAGGCUGCAGCGGCCCUGGGACGCGAUGGCCUUGUGUCGGCUAUCAAGGGAUCUCGGACCCCCCUCACGUACGUGAAAACCGGUCCCCAAGAGUCCAGCAAGGAGAAGUAGGAGGAGGUGACUGGAGGGGAGAGGUGUUUGUGGCCCCCAAGGUAGGCUCCAGGUUGCAGUGGAGUCAAGCCGUCGGCAAGGGAUCCAGCUCUGCUCCUCAGACUCGAGCAGAGCAGCCUGUCUGCGGCCACCUCCACUCCCUCUCCGAGGACGCACCCGGCCACUCUCUGCACCACCGCGGGCGAUAGACAGAUUGUCCCCUCCGUUCCUGCCAACCAGGGUGUGGACGUGGACCAGGCACAUGGAACUCAGCCCUCUGGACACACGGGAAGCUUUUAAGAAGACACAGCACCCAAGCUCUAUCUUCAAGGGUGAGGAGUAUGCCAGACAUAAGACCUGAGAGGACAGCGGUCUACACAGAGGGAACAUCCUGGAGGGAAUGGCACACAGCAGAGCUUAAAAUAAAGCAGCACAGAGACAGCUGUGGUCCAGCUGCCCGCCCUGUCGGUGGCAAUCGCCUCCCUGGUCAGGUUCAUCUCUGAACACCUGGUUGGGACAUGAGUGCAUCCUCCUAGGACCCAGAAGUCACUGAGCAGAAGUGCAGCAACGUGGCAAAACCAACAGAGCUGAAGCGGCACAGAACAUUCCUGGACAGGUCUGCGAGGGUGGGGCAGCCAGGAAGUGACAGCAUGAAGCCAAGCACACUGGGCUCCUCUCCAGAGAUAUAUGGCAAAGGUGCGAGCUUUAGAGACAGGAAUGUUGGGAUUCCUCUCCUGGUUCUUCCACUUAAUGGCUGCUUGAUUCUGAACCUUAUCAGAGUAUCAACCUUAUCAGAGUAUUAUCAAUUUACAUCUAUAAAAUGGGAAGAUCACAAAAUAUAACUCCCAGGGUUAUGAGUCUGCAUGAGCUAGCUUGGAUAAAUGUUUAGCGCUGUGCGUGGCAUACUGUAGCUUCUUUUCUAGACCUGUGGAAAGAAUUGCAUAAAGGAGGCAGUGAUUGACCCCUCAACUCAAUGGCGACCUUGCAGAGAGAGAGAGGUUUAAUCCACCUAGGGAGACUCCUCUGCAAUUAGUGGCACAACAGUAAGGUCCUUAAAGAGAAUCACUAACAUCAAGGAAAGAUCAUGAACUUUUGCUUGUCAAAAAUAGUGGAAGAAUGGGGCUGGCCCUGUGGCCGAGUGGUUAAGUUCGCACGCUCCGCUGCAGGCGGCCCAGUGUUUCGUCGGUUCGAAUCCUGGGUGUGGACAUGGCACUGCUCAUCAGGCCACGCUGAGGCAGUGUCCCACAUGCCACAACUAGAAGGACCCACAAUGAAGAAUAUACAACUAUGUACCGGCGGGCUUUGGGG
rnacentral:lncRNA from 1 species